rnacentral:rRNA from 1 species
ACUUUGAAAAAAUUAGAGUGCUCAAAGCAGGCUCCGACCGCCUGAAUAAUGGUGCAUGGAAUAAUGGAAUAGGACCUCGGUCUUAUUUUGUUGGUUUUAAAGACGUCGAGGUAAUGAUUAAGAGGGACAGACGGGGGCAUUCGUAUUGCGACGCUAGAGGUGAAAUUCUUGGACCGCCGCACGACGAACUACUGCGAAAGCAUUUGCCAAGAAUGUUUCCAUUAAUCAAGAACGAAAGUCAGAGGUUCGAAGGCGAUCAGAUACCGCCCUAGUUCUGACCCUAAACGAUGCCAGCCAGCGAUCCGGCUGCGUUCUUCAUAAUGACGCGCCGGGCAGCUUCCGGGAAACCAAAGCUUUUGGGUUCCGGGGGGAGUAUGGUUGCAAAACUCGAACUUAAAGGAAUUGACGGAAGCGCACACAAGAAAUGGGGCCUGCGGCUUAAUUUGACUCAACACGGUGCAACUCACCCGGCCCGGACACAGGAAGGAUUGACAGAUUCAGAGCUCUUUCUUGAUUCUGUGACAGGUGGUGCAUGGCCGUUUCUAGUUGGUGGAGUGAUUUGUCUGCUUUAUUGCGAUAACGAGCGAGACUCUAUCCUGCUAAAUAGGCGACCCAUUAAUUUGCGUGGGUCGUUUUACUUCUUAGAGGGACAAGCGGUGUUCAGCCGCACGAAACGGAGCAAAAACAGGUCAGGAUGCCCUUAGAUGUUCGGGGCCGCACGCGCGCCACAUUGAAGGAAUCAGCGUGUCUAUUUCCUACUCCGACAGGAGCGGGUAACCCGUUGAAACUCCUUCGUGCUAGGGAUAGGGACUUGUAAUUGUUUCCCUUGAACGAGGAAUUCCCAGUAAGCAUCGAGUCAUCAGCUCGUGUUGAUUACGUCCCUGCGCUUUGUGCACACCGCCCGUCGCUAUUAUCGAUGAAUUUUGGAGUGAGAUCAU